rnacentral:rRNA from 1 species
CCUACGGGCGGCAGCAGUGGGGAAUAUUGGACAAUGGGGGAAACCCUGAUCCAGCGACGCCGCGUGAGUGAAGAAGUAUUUCGGUACGUAAAGCUCUAUCAGCAGGAAAGAAAAUGACGGUACCUGACUAAGAAGCCCCGGCUAACUACGUGCCAGCAGCCGCGGUAAGCCGUAGGGGGCAAGCGUUAUCCGGAUUUACUGGGUGAAAAGGGGGCGAAGAGGGCGGGGCAAGCCGGGAGUGAAAUGCCGGGGCCCAACCCCGGGACUGCUCUGGAAACUGGGAAGCUGGAGUGCAGGAGAGGUAAGCGGAAUUCCUGGUGUAGCGGUGAAAUGCGUAGAUAUCAGGAGGAACACCGGCGGCGAAGGCGGCUUACUGGACUGUAACUGACGUUGAGGCUCGAAGGCGUGGGGAGCAAACAGGAUUAGAUACCCGAGUAGUC